UACGGAGGGGGCUAGCGUUGUUCGGAAUUACUGGGCGUAAAGCGCACGUAGGCGGCUUUGUAAGUUAGAGGUGAAAGCCCAGGGCUUAACCCUGGAAUUGCCUUUAAGACUGCAUCGCUAGAAUCGUGGAGAGGUGAGUGGAAUUCCGAGUGUAGAGGUGAAAUUCGUAGAUAUUGGGAAGAACACCGGUGGCGAAGGCGGCUCACUGGCUCGUUUCUGACGCUCAGGCGCGACAGCGUGGGGAUCAAACAGG
rnacentral:rRNA from 1 species